ACAUUCCUUGUGGUUUGGGUGAUAACAAGGCUUGCAGGCCACCGGAGUUAAUUCCUAUGCAAUUAUGAAUGCAAUCAUUAGAAAGGUAGAUCUAUAAUAAUAGUAGAUUUUUACAUCCUGAAACUAUACAUCCCAGUUAGCCACACACACACACACACACACACACACAAACAGGCCUUGGACAUAUCAGCUUCAGACUAGGGCCCUCUUAUAUCCCUCCAAUAAAUUUUUUGCUUCAUAAAAAAAUGGGGAUAAAAUUUGAAAUUGAUAGUAAGGCCUCUAAAAACAGCAAUUGAAAUUGAAAGGGUCUCUUGGAAAAGUAAGCCAUGCUCAGCCGUAAUAAUUAUGUUGAGAAACUCCAGCAUAUUUAACUCAGAGAAAUAUUAAUGGUGCUGUGCUCAUGGAGACAGCUGAGAUCGAUAUAUGAGAUCAUGAUUUUUGGAAAUUGUUUGAGAGUUAGGAGGAAUGCUUUGUUGCUUAAAAGCUACUUGAUCCCUUGUUAAAAUUUACUGCAAUGCUACGACAGGGAGAAGGUGAACGAGAUAAACAUGAAUGCAGAAUAUAAAUAUAUGUGCCACUCGGCAAAUGAACAUGGAGAUUUAGCAGAAGAGAAGGAAAAUAGUCUCUAUUGCUGAGAACUACAGAAAGCUAUAUUUGUUGCUAACUGCGAAUAGUGCUGAAAAAGGCAGAAUUGGACACUCGACCAACAAGCAGUCAUAUUUUUGCCUUUGUAUAUGGAGAUAAUAAACAAUGGUAUCAACAAUAGCAAUAGUGAUGCCUAAUUAUCCUCCUAAGAUACAAUAGUAACAAUAACUACUGUAGAACUUAUUAUUUGUCUUUGUUGUUGUAGCUGUUGUUGCUGUUGUUUCUAUUGUUGCUGUUAUUAAAUUUCCAAGUUUGCCUUGAAAAAGUACUUUCUCAUUUAUGAUAGUAAAUACAUCAACCCAACUCUGUGUGCACAUACCAACGUAUCCUCGUUAACAACAUCAGCAACACGUCAAAUUUAAAUAUGCAGGACCAAUGAAAACAUGAGGGUAGGCAACAUCAAAAGCAUUAUUAUUAUUACUAUUAUUACCAUUAUUCCUUCUCAAUGAGAAGCAUGAUAUUAAGGAAUACAGUUAGUCAAAAUUCAGAUUAAUGGAGGACCUUAUGCGCAUGCCAAUCACAUCCCACAAGGUUUUUGCAGUUGUGCACUCCAACAAGAUAUGUUCCAAAGUCUCCUCAAUGGCACAAAGAUCACAGAUAAUUGGAAUGCCAUUGAGCAAUCCUCUCUGAGCAAGUAAAGUCUUACAGGGAAUUCUUUUCCAAAGAAAAAGGAGAACCCUUGGUGCAGCUGCUAUUCUCCAGAAGAGAAAAUAAUAAUUGGGUCAUAGAAUAGUCAAAGUCCUCCUGAUUUAAUAGCUUGCUGAUAUCCUUGUUUGCACUCUUGCAGAUCAAGUUCUAAACCAAGCAAAGCAGUCAGUAGAAACCAACUUUGGAAUCGCAAAAGACAGAAUUUCAUUAGUAAUCUCAGAUGGAAAUAAAUUCUGUAGUCAGUCCACAUUCCAAGAGCUAUCAUCAACAAGUAGAUGUGCAAGUCCCAUUUUUGCACUCAUAGCAUUCAUGUUCAUAGGGAUUGGACAUCUAUUUAAGGGAAUAUUAGAGAGCCAAGGAUCAGUAAGAAGGUUGAUUGUACUC
rnacentral:lncRNA from 1 species